rnacentral:lncRNA from 1 species
AGGGACGGGCAGAAAGGAAAGAAGGAUAGGAAGGGAUAGGGAGUGUAGGACCUGGGGCUACUGAUGGGUGGUCUUGCCCGGAGUGCAGGGAGGACACAAGUUGCCCCGCUGCCCCGAGUCACCCUACUCGCCGCACUUCCCUCUUGGAGGGGGCGAGGCCAGCCGCGGAGUGCUGGGCCGACCGUGACCCUCACCGGGGUAGCACGGGGGGGACAGCGGGGCGUCCCGGAUCGAAGGGACCAGGGCAACAGGGCGCACAGAACGGUGCCCAAGGCGCGCCCACCCGCUCGCCCGUCCGAUCUGAUCCCGUUCGGUCUCCUCCGACUGGGGACCCGGCGGAUGAGGGCGGUGCCCGGCCCGGCUCCCCAGGGGUCCCCGAGCCCCGCCGCGCCCCGCACCUUUGAUCACGUUGCUGUAGAUGGUGGGGCGGAACUCCUCGCGCGCGCGCUGGUCGAAGUCCUGGCCGUGGAUGAUCCGCAUCUGCUUCAGGAAGGUGGACUUGCCGCUCUCGCCCGCGCCCAGCAGCAGGAUCUUCACCAGCCGCUUCACCCUCCAAAAAAACCAUCCCUGAGCUGCCGGUGACCAGCUGAAACCUCAGCUUAUCCUCAGUCGGAGGUUCAGAGACACGCAUCCGUGACCCCAGACACACCUCGCUCGGAAACGUCAGACCCACUCCAGCUGCUGGUUUAUACAGCACUACACAAAGCCCUGCCCGCUCACACACACUCCUUGAUGUGCAUGCAGAGGCCAGAGCAGGAUGUUAAGACAGGCUCUCUCAUUGAAGCAGAAGUUCCCCAUCUCAGGUAGCCUGGCUGGCCAGUGAGAUCUGGAUGUCAACCUUUCUUUGUCCCCCCCACCCCCCCAUGGGUACAUCAGCGAGGCCCAGCUUCUUUUGUACAGACGCUGUACAUACAUUCGAGUGCAGCGCAAGCAUUCUUACUCAGUGAGCCAUCUCCCUAACUGUCCCAGACUUUCCCCCCAUCUUGAAAUAAGGUCUCACUAUGAAGCCCAGGGUAGCCUCAUACUCGAAAUCACCCCACCUCAGCCACCCUGAGUGCUGGGAUUAUGGGUGUACGUCACCAUGCCUGCCUCCCUUGUCACUUUGAAAGAUGACAGGUACUUGUUUCUUACCAGAAACAGAAAUUGUUUAAAUACAAGUUGUUCUUCCCCAGGGAAAUUCAAAUCUGCUCCCAGUCGGAUGGCAGAGGGUUUUCCAGUGGAACACUGGGUUAGCAGGCUUGGACCUGCCACUUUCGGCAACCAGUCUCCCGUGGCUGGCUAGCAGGCUCAGUUUUCAGGUAUUGUCACAUGUCACGGCCCGCCAAGCUGGCCUUUGCCUCACUGAGAAAAUGCCGGAUGGAGUACGUCAGCUAUGUUUGCCUCACAGCCAUAAAGACCCAUCCAGGGGCUCUGAGAAAUGGCCCACAUGGCUGGUGUCUGUCUGUGACAAGGCUCCCUCCCCGAGCAAAUCAUAUCAUCAGCUCAUCCUGACUCCACGGUCAGCUGCUAAGGAAAAAACGGUGAGGAAGGAAGGAUUCGGGGAAGGCAGCAGCUGCUGAGUCAGAAUGAUGGUGUUGGAAGGCUCACAGGAGAGGAUUUCAGGCCAGCUCCCUUCUGCUUCAGUUAGCCUUCUGCUGCUGCCCGGCCAGGAUCCCGCGGGAGAGGAGAGGAGACAGCGGGAGCCAGGGGAAGCAGCUCAAGGCGUGACCAGGAAUUUUGUGCUUCUGAGGGAAAGCUCCUUUAGGGAGAGAGCUCAGCUACCACUCUUUCUAAUCAGGUGUGACUCUUAGAUCACUGCCUACUCAUUUUCUAGUUCAGAGAGGAACGGCUACAGUGGGGGACUUAGUGAGAACUCGGUUGCCCUUUUUAUCUGUAAAACAGCCAUUGCAAAUAAAGAGUGGCGAAGAUUAAAUAAUAGGCGUAUGAGCUCCAUGUCUGUUCUGUAAAUGGGAGACAUGAUUUUAGACUGUUACAGGAAGAACCGAGUCAGUGGGUUGAAAGCCUUAGGAAACGCGGCAGUGUCGUCAUUGUCAGAAUCUUAUUCCUCGGGACCACAGAGAUGGCUCAGUGGGUGAAGGUACCUACUACCAAAACCUGACGAACCCACAAAGAAAGCGAGAACUAAUUCCCACAAGUCCUCUGACCUCCACAUUUGCACUGGGGCACACAUGCACAGCCACAUAUGAAUGCACAAAAUAUAAUAAUAAUAAUAAAAGCCUCAAGAAUGUUGGCUACUUCCUAAGCCUCCGUACCUGAGGUUUAAACAUGUUUUUGUUUGUUUGUUUCUCUUUCCCGUACUCAAGUUUACUCACAGAUGUGUUUCCCAGUAAGAUCUGUUUCUGGUUGCAAGGGCCUGAUACAACAAAGGAGAAAAACAAAACAAAACAAAACAAAACAAGCAUAUUAAGAGUGUGCCCUAAAACCUCAACAUAGUGGUUCUUCCAGAAGCCUACAGAAUUUUCCACUAGAACAGCGGUGUAGAUGGAGAUAUUGGAAUUGGACACUAAGAGCUUGGGCCCAUGGUGACACACAUCAUAAAGAAGGGAGGUCAGCCGGGCAGUGGUGGUACACGCCUUUAAUCCCAGCACUUGGGAGGCAGAGGCAGGCAGAUUUCUGAGUUCGAGGCCAUCCUGGUCUACAGAGUGAGUUUCAAGACAUUCAGGACAGACAGGGUGAUCCAGAGAAACCCUGUGAAGAAGAAGGAGGAAGAGGAGGAGGAGGAGGAGGAAGAGGAAGAGGAAGAGGAAGAGGAAGAGGAAGAGGAAAAAAAAAAAAAAAAAAAAAAAAAAAAAAAAAAAAAAAAAAAAAAAAAAAAAAAAAAAAAAAAAAAAAAAAAAAAAAAAAAAAAAAAAAAAAAAAAAAAAAAAAAAAA